rfam:Methylosinus sp. R-45379 contig_9, whole genome shotgun sequence.
CCCCUUUCCGCAUCGGCCCUUAAUGCGUAUAUUGUGAGCUGCCGACCUUCGGGACGGCUAUGGCGAUAAACGAACUCCGUAAUAAACCUAUCGGACCCGGGGGCGGUACCCGGCGCCUCCACCAGAGGCCGUCACGCGAGACAUGCAUGUUUGGCGCGGCGGCUUGUGGCGGGGGCGAAAUAGGAUCGACGAGGGCGUAAAGGGUGCUUUUUCGCUCGGCAUGAUACCGCCGUUAUCGGGUCAAACCUUAUAGUUGCCAACGACAACUAUGCUCCGGUGGCCGUCGCUGCGUAAUGCAGUGAAGGUACUGGGAUUCAAGCCCUAGGGGGUAGCACUUCUAGGCGGGGCUCGGAGGCGCCUGGCAACAGAAGCCUCCACU